rnacentral:rRNA from 1 species
GAUGAACGCUGGCGGCGUGCCUAAUACAUGCAAGUCGAGCGAACAGACGAGGAGCUUGCUCCUCUGAUGUUAGCGGCGGACGGGUGAGUAACACGUGGAUAACCUACCUAUAAGACUGGGAUAACUUCGGGAAACCGGAGCUAAUACCGGAUAACAUGUUGAACCGCAUGGUUCAACAGUGAAAGACGGUCUUGCUGUCACUUAUAGAUGGAUCCGCGCCGCAUUAGCUAGUUGGUAAGGUAACGGCUUACCAAGGCAACGAUGCGUAGCCGACCUGAGAGGGUGAUCGGCCACACUGGAACUGAGACACGGUCCAGACUCCUACGGGAGGCAGCAGUAGGGAAUCUGCCGCAAUGGGCGAAAGCCUGACGGAGCAACGCCGCGUGAGUGGAGAAGGUCUUCGGAUCGUAAAACUCUGUUAUUAGGGAAGAACAAAUGUGUAAGUAACUAUGCACGUCUUGACGGUACCUAAUCAGAAAGCCACGGCUAACUACGUG